CUUAUUAUUCUGUAUUUUCCUUCUAUUGAUCAUCUUCUCUUAUGUUAUUCAUUGUUUUUCUUCUAUCUCUCCUCUCAUUAUUCUUUAUUGUCCUUCUAUCAUCUCCUCUUAUGUUUCAUACAUAUGACACAAAGUGAUAUGAUUACUGAACUUGAAUAGCUACAUGUAUGCUGUAAAAUCUUUUUGUUUUGUACUUGGGUGGGUUCGAAUCCCGCGAAGCUGUUUUUAGCACAAGAGCUUUCAUGGUGCCAGUACAAUAUCAUUUGGUUCUAUAGCAUUCAACGUGCACGUUUCUGAUACAGAUACAAAUGUUGAAAGUAAAGAGGACAUCUCCUCAGAAUUGGCAGAGAACUCAAAGAUAAACUAAUUGAGUAUAAGGCACUUGUUUAGAGACAUAAGACGACAAUUUAGAAUUGUUGUUCUGGAUCCAGUUUAGAACAAGGCUUUUAAUUUCUUUGUAACAAUAACCUAAGUGACCACGGUAUAGAUCUGUUUGAAAUAAGGAGCACCCAGUCCUGCAACUGCCACGCCCACCAUCGGUUUGUGGGUCCACAGGAUCUUCAUCCCUGUGCUCGACCACCAGCACCAAAAAACUGAGGGUGAAGUGCAAAAAACUACCCCAACAUAAUGAGCAUCCAAUCCCGCUACUACCAGACACAUCAUCCGUUAGUGUGUCAGCUGGAUCAUCAUCCCUGUUCUGCAGUACCAGCGAUCAAGCGGCGAGGGUAAAAUUCACCCAGGAAGAGAAGGAGGCAGUCCAGAAGCUUUUCCAGAGCUGGAUAGAAAAGGGUGACAUGCCUCGCAUAGGCGUGGUGAGGGACAUAGUUAAACAAAAUAAAAAAGUAGCACGUUGCCUCUCUAACCGAUCAUUUCUCCAAGUGAGGGACAGAGUCCGCAAUGCAAUAAAAGCUCAAACAAAAUCUACGUCUAUGUAGAUCAUCAACUAUUUCAUUCAUCUUUCUUUUUUCUCAGUUGCUUUCUUAAUGUAAUAUCCCUCACAACGCCUAUGCAAGGCAUGUCACCUUUUUCUAUCCAGCUGUUGAUAUUCUAAUGAAAUGUUUAAGAAAUGGCAGUGCACACUUGUCAGUAAGUCUGAAUGUUUUGUUAAAGUAGUUUUCGUGAUUCUUCUUUCUAUUCUUGUUCUUUUACUUUUUACAUGAUGAUUAUGAUAUGCUUUUUAUGAAUAUGAAGGUACAAUUGUAUCAAUAAAAACCUUCAAUUGUCAUUAAUAAAACACUUUGAGCAGGACAUAGGAGAUAGUUUUGUAUUAUGUCCGAACUAAAUAUGAGUUGAGUCAAAUCAAAAAAUCAUAAUUAUCUACAUUGGACGUAAAAAUGAUUGAGUUAUGGCAUUUUUGAACUUUUGUAUUGUUUCAUGAAACAGUUAUAUGCAUAACAUGGGCUGUAUUUCGAUUAGUGACAUGCCGCACUGUCAUAUGCUCGAUUUUCCUUAUGUGUAUUAUAUUAAAUAUAUAUUCCUGUACACUAUUAACAUAUUUUUAAAAAGAAUACCCGUUUUACCGGUCCUAAGCUUUGGAACGAUUUACCUGAAACUAUGAGGAAAUCUGUACUUCUAUUGGAAGCUUUAAAAAAUGUAUAAUUUUAAAUUACAGUGCAUAAGUAUUAGCCCUAUACCCGAUGAGGCUGACGAGUGUGUGUGUGUAUAUUGUAUAAGGGGAUGUGUAUAUAACCCAAUUAUAUUGUACUGGCACCAUGAAAGCUCUUGUGUUAUAAACAGCUUCGCGGGACUCGAACCCACCCAAGUAAAAUAAAAAAGAGUUUACAACACACAUGAAGCUAUAUACUAAAGUUAAUUAAUAAUAGCAGUUUGUGUCAUAUAUAUUUAAAAGAAUUUGCACUUUAAUUAUGCAAAAGAUUAAAUGUAUUUUCUUACACCGUAACGAAUGUUUCACAUCAUUGCUUGUAAUUCCAGUCCUUAAUUUCAAUUUCACAGUAUGAAAUAUGAGAUAAAAUGCACUUGAGAGAGAGAGAGAGAACAAAAACACAGGGAAAGUUAAAAUUGAGAUAGUGAGUGAAACCAAUAUGAUGGAAAGUGGCAGUUGAGAUAGAGAAUGCAAUAAAAGGGGGGAAAUGAUAAUAAAGACAGAGAAAGUGGGGAUGGAGAUAGAAAGAGGGAACAUGAUGAGGGAAAGUGGAAGUGGAAGUAGAAGUAGUAAGGAAGAGCAGGUAGGGUAGUAUGAAAUAUGAGAUGAAAUGCACUUGAGAGAGAGAGAGAGAGAGAGAGA